rnacentral:rRNA from 1 species
AGAGUUUGAUCAUGGCUCAGAUUGAACGCUGGCGGCAGGCUUAACACAUGCAAGUCGAGCGGGCGAGGUUGCUUCGGUAACUGAGCUAGCGGCGGACGGGUGAGUAAUGCUUAGGAAUCUGCCUAUUAGUGGGGGACAACAUUCCGAAAGGAAUGCUAAUACCGCAUACGCCCUACGGGGGAAAGCAGGGGAUCUUCGGACCUUGCGCUAAUAGAUGAGCCUAAGUCAGAUUAGCUAGUUGGUGGGGUAAAGGCCUACCAAGGCGACGAUCUGUAGCGGGUCUGAGAGGAUGAUCCGCCACACUGGGACUGAGACACGGCCCAGACUCCUACGGGAGGCAGCAGUGGGGAAUAUUGGACAAUGGGCGCAAGCCUGAUCCAGCCAUGGCCGCGUGUGUGAAGAAGGCCUUUUGGUUGUAAAGCACUUUAAGCGAGGAGGAGGCUACUUGGAUUAAUACUCUAGGAUAGUGGACGUUACUCGCAGAAUAAGCACCGGCUAACUCUGUGCUAGCAGCCGCGGUAAUACAGAGGGUGCGAGCGUUAAUCGGAUUUACUGGGCGUAAAGCGUGCGUAGGCGGCUUCUUAAGUCGGAUGUGAAAUCCCUGAGCUUAACUUAGGAAUUGCAUUCGAUACUGGGAAGCUAGAGUAUGGGAGAGGAUGGUAGAAUUCCAGGUGUAGCGGUGAAAUGCGUAGAGAUCUGGAGGAAUACCGAUGGCGAAGGCAGCCAUCUGGCCUAAUACUGACGC